UACAGAGGUGCCAAGCGUUAGGCGGAAUCACUGGGCUUAAAGCGCGCGUAGGCGGAUGUUUAAGUGUCUUGUGAAAUCCCACGGCUCAACCGUGGAACUGCUGGGCAUACUGCGGGUCUUGGGCCAACUAGGGGCAGCCGGAACAAGCGGUGGAGCGGUGAAAUGCGUAGAUAUCGCUUGGAACGCCGAAGGUGAAAACAGGCUGCUGGGGUUGCGCCGACGCUGAGACACGAAGCCAGGGGAGCAAACGGG
rnacentral:rRNA from 1 species